CCGCAACGAAAUUGUGGCAAAAUUAGAACAAAAUGUUGGCCCGCUUGAAACCGAAAAUCGAUUUUCGACUGGUCUCGAAUUUUAAUUGAUUGUCACUUGGAUUUUCACUUUUUACGAAGCGAUUGGCAGCCAAACGAAAUAUAAAAGUAAAAGAGAAAUGGAAUUUCACCCAAGCGCCGUUUGGUGUAUCUGAAUCUAAAUCCGCUGAAGCCGACGAAGAAGCCGUAAAAUAAAUGGUCCAAAUCGCGUAGAUUCGUUUAGCAACUUACACUCAGCUCGAAAUCGGCUAAUCCCAUUGUGGUAAGGUGUCUUUAAGUUUAUCUGCCGGAUUUGUAUCUGUUUUGCACUCGCGUUGCGUGGGCGUGCCUCUCGAAAUUAAGGACAUUGACAUGGCCAAAACGCAUUUAUCCGUGCG